GGCAGGGGCGCCCGGGGGCAGGGGAUCGAGGGGCUGCCCAGGACCCGGGGUGCAUGGGGCCAAGGUUCUGCAUGGGGCUGCCUGGGGUUUGGGAGGCUGCAGAGGCUGCGGGGGGGCUAUAGGGAGCUGCACAUGCUUCGGGGCCUUCAUGGGACAAGGGGGCUGUAAGGGACCAAAGGAGUGCACAGUGUUUGGGGGCUGCAGAGGGCUGGGGUUUGAAAAGGGUUUGGGAGUUGCAAGGGGCUGGAGGGCUGGGGCUGGAGGGGGCUAGGGGGCUGCAAGGGGAUUGGGAGUAUUUGCAAGAGGCUGGGGGCAGGGUUUGCAAAGGGUCGGGGGCUGUUUGUAAGGUGUUGGGGGACUGCAAGGGGCUGGGAGGUGUUUGCAAGGGGUUAGGGACAGGGUUUGUUGGGGGUGUGGGUAUUUGCAAGGGGCUGGGUUGGGGCUUGCAAAGGCAGGAGGGGCGUGGGGUGUCUGCAAGGGGCUGGAGGGCUGCAAGGGGGUGGGAGUUGCUUUGCUUCCUUCCUUCCUCCCCUGUUCUGCCGGGGGCAAGGGUCGGGACUGCAGUAGGAGCAGCCACACGUGGGGUCACAACAUCUGCACAGGGCAGGCUCCGCGGGUGCAGCCUCCCUCGGUGUCCUGAGACCCUCAUGCCAGGCCAGGCCAGGCUCCCAGGGUCGCCCUGCACGCCAGCCCCUUCUGCUUCGCCUCGGCUGGGCUCCCCAGGGCACCGCGGGAAUGCCAACGGAGAGCACCGCCAGGGCCCUUUUUCGACAGAAGUGCAUGGAAGCGGGCUGCACCCUGGCGCGGAGGCUGGGCGACAGCAGCACCCCUGCCAGGCAGCGUCUGCCCGCACUGCACGGCACUGCACAGCUGCCGCAUGGCCACUGCACAGCCAUCGCAUGGCCACUAAACAGCCACUGCGUAGCCCUUGCAUGGACCCUGCACGGCCGUUGCGAAGCCGCUGCCCCCCCACCCCGCACGCCCCCCCUGUGUAGGGCCGCCCCCCAGCCGUUGCACACCUACAACACAACACUGCACAACUGAUGUGUGACCACGGCGCCGUUGCAGCGUAGGCACUGCACAGCCAUUGCACAGCCACUACACAACCUCUGCAUGGCCGCGAAAUGACCGUCGCGUGGCCACAGCUCCUGCCCACAUCACUGCACUGACCAGGUCACGACGGGACAGAGUUGCAGCGUCCCGACCCAAACCCACCCCACUCUCCACCCGCCUGACUGCCAGCUCCGGUUUUGCACUCCUCUUUCUUCCCGUGCUCCAGGAGCUGACGUGUUCCUGCGCUGCCCCUUUUACGAUGGCUUGUCACUGGUGGCAGGGGGCUCAGAGCGCUUCCUUGCUUUGUGCAAGCAGGUCCCUGGCCUCCGCAGGGAUGCCGGGAGGUGGCUGCCCGUGGGACCUUCAUUGUGGCGCAGCUGAAUAGCGGGUCUGGCACGGCCUCGCUGGGUGGAGGAGGCUUGCCAGAGCCCUGACCAGGCUGUGAGCAGUGCCAGCCAGGAGGGGCCACAUCCUGCGGGUCCCAGGCUGCUGGCUCCUGAUCCCUGAGCUCUGCCUGCCGACGGCCGGGCACUGCCCUGGCUGAGCUCAGGAUGGAGAGGUGCCAAGUGCCUGUUGCUUGACCGUAGCUGGGAGAAAUUUGCUGGGGAGGGUGUUACGGUCUCAUCAACACCAGUUGGUAGGGUGCAUGCACGCUGCACAGCACCCCCGC
ensembl:lncRNA